AACAAGUUACCAAAUCCCAACAAAAUCAAGUGGAAUCGUAUAAAGGUAUUGGCACAAAUCAUUUCAAACAAUUAUAUGUGUAAUGACCAACUAAUGUUAUGCUUAUAUGUCUACUUCAUUUUAAUUGUAGACCCCUUGCCAAACAAACUAGGUAGAUUGCGGCUAUUACGUGCUGAAAUUCAUGAAUGAGAUCAUUAAGCAGUGGCCAACUAAUGAAAUCAAGUCUGUUAGCAAAUUAUAUACAGAUGGCCAAGUCAACCACAUUAGAGAACAAUGGUCAAAGUUUCUACUUAGUUUAGUAGAUUAGUUUUCCACAGAUUGUAGCUUAGAGAGUUCAAUUAAUGUUCAAUGUAAUGUAUAUGAUUUGAUCUAUGUAAUAUAUGUUUAUGUAAAC
rnacentral:lncRNA from 1 species